GAUGAACGCUGGCGGCGUGCUUAACACAUGCAAGUCGAACGAAGCACCUUAUUCUGAUUUCUUCGGAAUGAAAAAUUUGGUGACUGAGUGGCGGACGGGUGAGUAACGCGUGGGUAACCUGCCUCAUACAGGGGGAUAACAGUUAGAAAUGACUGCUAAUACCGCAUAAGACCACAGCACCGCAUGGUGCAGGGGUAAAAACUCCGGUGGUAUGAGAUGGACCCGCGUCUGAUUAGGUAGUUGGUGGGGUAACGGCCUACCAAGGCGACGAUCAGUAGCCGGCCUGAGAGGGUGAACGGCCACAUUGGGACUGAGACACGGCCCAA
rnacentral:rRNA from 1 species